rnacentral:rRNA from 1 species
AUUGAACGCUGGCGGCAGGCCUAACACAUGCAAGUCGAGCGGAUGAAGGGAGCUUGCUCCUGGAUUCAGCGGCGGACGGGUGAGUAAUGCCUAUGAAUCUGCCUGGUAGUGGGGGAUAACGUCCGGAAACGGGCGCUAAUACCGCAUACGUCCUGAGGGAGAAAGUGGGGGAUCUUCGGACCUCACGCUAUCAGAUGAGCCUAGGUCGGAUUAGCUAGUUGGUGGGGUAAAGGCCUACCAAGGCGACGAUCCGUAACUGGUCUGAGAGGAUGAUCAGUCACACUGGAACUGAGACACGGUCCAGACUCCUACGGGAGGCAGCAGUGGGGAAUAUUGGACAAUGGGCGAAAGCCUGAACCAGCCAUGCCGCGUGUGUGAAGAAGGUCUUCGGAUUGUAAAGCACUUUAAGUUGGGAGGAAGGGCAGUAAGUUAAUACCUUGCUGUUUUGACGGUACCAACAGAAUAAGCACCGGCUAACUUCGUG